GACGAACGCUGGCGGCGUGCUUAACACAUGCAAGUCGAACGGAAAGGCCCUGCUUUUGUGGGGUGCUCGAGUGGCGAACGGGGGAGUGACACGUGAGUAACCUGCCCUUGACUUUGGGAUAACUUCAGGAAACUGGGGCUAAUACCGGAUAGGAGCUCCUGCUGCGUGGUGGGGGUUGGAAAGUUUCGGCGGUUGGGGAUGGACUCGCGGCUUAUGAGCUUGUUGGUGGGGUAGUGGCUUACCAAGGCUUUGACGGGUAGCCGGCCUGAGAGGGUGACCGGCCACAUUGGGACUGAGAUACGGCCCAGACUCCUACGGGAGGCAGCAGGGGGGAAUAUUGCACAAUGGGCGGAAGCCUGAUGCAGCAACGCCGCGUGCGGGAUGACGGCCUUCGGGGUGUAACCCGCUUUCGCCUUUGACGAAGCGUGAGUGACGGUAAUGGGUAAAGAAGCACCGGCUAACUACGUG
rnacentral:rRNA from 1 species